rnacentral:rRNA from 1 species
CGAACGCUGGCGGCGUGCCUAAUACAUGCAAGUAGAACGCUGAAGAGAGGAGCUUGCUCUUCUUGGAUGAGUUGCGAACGGGUGAGUAACGCGUAGGUAACCUGCCUUGUAGCGGGGGAUAACUAUUGGAAACGAUAGCUAAUACCGCAUAACAAUGGAUGACACAUGUCAUUUAUUUGAAAGGGGCAAUUGCUCCACUACAAGAUGGACCUGCGUUGUAUUAGCUAGUAGGUGAGGUAAUGGCCCACCUAGGCGACGAUACAUAGCCGACCUGAGAGGGUGAUCGGCCACACUGGGACUGAGACACGGCCCAGACUCCUACGGGAGGCAGCAGUAGGGAAUCUUCGGCAAUGGGGGCAACCCUGACCGAGCAACGCCGCGUGAGUGAAGAAGGUUUUCGGAUCGUAAAGCUCUGUUGUAAGUCAAGAACGGGUGUGAGAGUGGAAAGUUCACACUGUGACGGUAGCUUACCAGAAAGGGACGGCUAACUACGUG